AAUAUGGGUCAAUGGUCGCAAGCCUGAUCCAGCCAUGCCGCGUGAGUGAUGAAGGCAUUAGGGUUGUAAAGCUCUUUCACCGAAGAAGAUAAUGACGGUAGUCGGAGAAGAAGCCCCGGCUAACUUCGUGCCAGCAGCUGCGGUAAUACGAAGGGGGCUAGCGCUGUUCGGAUUUACUGGGCGUAAAGCGCACGUAGGCGGAUUGGUCAGUUAGAGGUGAAAUCCCGAAGCUCAACUUCGGAACUGCCUUUAAUACUGCCAGUCUCGAGUCCGGAAGAGGUAAGUGGAACUCCUGGUGUAGAGGUGGAAUUCGUAGAUAUUAGGAAGAACACCAGUGGCGAGGGCGGCUUACUGGUCCGGAACUGACGCUGAGGUGCGAAAGCGUGGGGAGCAAACA
rnacentral:rRNA from 1 species